UACGGAGGAUCCGAGCGUUAUCCGGAUUUAUUGGGUUUAAAGGGUGCGUAGGCGGCUUUCUAAGUCAGGGGUGAAAUACAGCGGCUCAACCGUUGCAGUGCCUUUGAUACUGGAGGGCUUGAAUGUGGUCGAAGGCGGCGGAAUGGGACAAGUAGCGGUGAAAUGCAUAGAUAUGUCCCAGAACCCCGAUAGCGAAGGCAGCUGCCUAGGCCAUAAUUGACGCUGAUGCACGAAAGCGUGGGGAUCAAACAGG
rnacentral:rRNA from 1 species